rnacentral:rRNA from 1 species
UCUAGCGGCGGACGGGUUAGUAACGCGUGGGAACGUACCCUUUUCUACGGAAUAGCCUCGGGAAACUGAGAGUAAUACCGUAUACGCCCUUUGGGGGAAAGAUUUAUCGGAGAAGGAUCGGCCCGCGUUAGAUUAGAUAGUUGGUGGGGUAAUGGCCUACCAAGUCUACGAUCUAUAGCUGGUUUGAGAGAAUGAUCAGCAACACUGGGACUGAGACACGGCCCAGACUCCUACGGGAGGCAGCAGUGGGGAAUCCUAGACAAUGGGCGCAAGCCUGAUCUAGCCAUGCCGCGUGAGCGAUGAAGGCCUUAGGGUCGUAAAGCUCUUUCGCCUGUGAAGAUAAUGACUGUAGCAGGUAAAGAAACCCCGGCUAACUCCGUGCCAGCAGCCGCGGUAAUACGGAGGGGGUUAGCGUUGUUCGGAAUUACUGGGCGUAAAGCGCGCGUAGGCGGACAUUUAAGUCAGAGGUGAAAUCCCAGGGCUCAACCCUGGAACUGCCUUUGAUACUGGGUGUCUUGAGUUCGAGAGAGGUGAGUGGAAUUCCGAGUGUAGAGGUGAAAUUCGUAGAUAUUCGGAGGAACACCAGUGGCGAAGGCGGCUCACUGGCUCGAUACUGACGCUGAGGUGCGAAAGUGUGGGGAGCAAACAGGAUUAGAUACCCUGGUAGUCCACACCGUAAACGAUGAAUGCCAGUCGUCGG